rnacentral:rRNA from 1 species
AGAGUUUGAUCAUGGCUCAGAUUGAACGCUGGCGGCGUGCCUAACACAUGCAAGUCGAGCGGUAACAGGUGUAGCAAUACAUGCUGACGAGCGGCGAACGGGUGAGUAAUGCUUCGGAAUCUACCCAGUAGUGGGGAAUAACCAACCGAAAGGUUGGCUAAUACCGCAUACGUCCUACGGGAGAAAGCGGGGGAUCGCAAGACCUCGCGCUAUCGGAUGAGCCGAAGCCGGAUUAGCUAGUUGGUAGGGUAACGGCCUACCAAGGCGACGAUCCGUAGCUGGUCUGAGAGGACGACCAGCCACACUGGGACUGAGACACGGCCCAGACUCCUACGGGAGGCAGCAGUGGGGAAUAUUGGACAAUGGGGGAAACCCUGAUCCAGCGACGCCGCGUGUGUGAAGAAGGCCUGCGGGUUGUAAAGCACUUUUAGUGGGGAUGAAAAGUGCAGAGCUAACACCUCUGCAUCUUGACCUAACCCACAGAAAAAGCACCGGCUAACUCUGUGCCAGCAGCCGCGGUAAUACAGAGGGUGCGAGCGUUAAUCGGAAUUACUGGGCGUAAAGCGUGCGUAGACGGUAAUGUAAGUCGGGUGUGAAAGCCCCGGGCUCAACCUGGGAAUUGCAUUCGAGACUGCAUUGCUUGGGUGCGGAAGAGGGAAGCGGAAUUUCCGGUGUAGCGGUGAAAUGCGUAGAUAUCGGAAGGAACACCAGUGGCGAAAGCGGCUUCCUGGUCCGACACCGACGUUCAGGCACGAAAGCGUGGGGAGCAAACAGGAUUAGAUACCCCAGUAGUCC